rnacentral:lncRNA from 1 species
GCCUGACCUUCUGAAUACUCAAUUUUAAUUUUUUUUUAAAUUGACAUUAAAAUUUGAAGGAUCAAAUCAUAGGAAACAUGUGUAUUUUAAAAGUUUUAAGUUGAUAAGACUUCAACUUCAUUAAAAACUACCUUGACCAAAAACUUUAACCUGAAGCAGGACAGACGGACGAACGAACGAACGAACGGCCGCACAGACCAGAAAACAUAAAUUGGACAUAAAAAUAACUUUCACCUAUCUAAUAACCCCGGUAACCUGUACACAAUCGGCGCAAAUGAAAGACAAAAUGAAAGAAUAAAAAAAUGAAAUGCAGAUCGCCGCAAAAAAGUAGAGAUCAAAAGUUAUAUUUUAUUGUUUUUAUUAGAACGAAGGUUAAAUAUAGUGUAGUAUCUUUUGUGUCCAUUUGUGUUAAAUUUCCACAAGAUAUCAGCUCGACGCUUAAUUCCUCUUUACUUGGGAUACGUAUUUUUAAGCGUACACCAUGUUGGAAUCCGUGAAAAACGCGAAAUAGGAC